ACUGGGUGCUAAUUUGGACGUCAAUCUUAGCGAAUCAUCAAAAAUAUUAAAAUUAAUAUUUUUGAUGAUUCGCUAAGAUUGACGUCCAAAUUAGCACCCAGUUG
rnacentral:pre_miRNA from 1 species